CCUAAGGUAGCGAAAUUCCUUGUCGGGUAAGUUCCGACCUGCACGAAUGGCGUAAUGAUGGCCAGGCUGUCUCCACCCGAGACUCAGUGAAAUUGAACUCGCUGUGAAGAUGCAGUGUACCCGCGGCAAGACGGAAAGACCCCGUGAACCUUUACUAUAGCUUGACACUGAACACUGGUCCUUGAUGUGUAGGAUAGGUGGGAGGCUUUGAAGCGUGGACGCCAGUCUGCGUGGAGCCAACCUUGAAAUACCACCCUUUAAUGGCUGGUGUUCUAACGUAGACCCGUAAUCCGGGUUGCGGACAGUGUCUGGUGGGUAGUUUGACUGGGGCGGUCUCCUCCCAAAGAGUAACGGAGGAGCACGAAGGUUGGCUAAUCCUGGUCGGACAUCAGGAGGUUAGUGCAAUGGCAUAAGCCAGCUUGACUGCGAGCGUGACGGCGCGAGCAGGUGCGAAAGCAGGUCAUAGUGAUCCGGUGGUUCUGAAUGGAAGGGCCAUCGCUCAACGGAUAAAAGGUACUCCGGGGAUAACAGGCUGAUACCGCCCAAGAGUUCAUAUCGACGGCGGUGUUUGGCACCUCGAUGUCGGCUCAUCACAUCCUGGGGCUGAAGUAGGUCCCAAGGGUAUGGCUGUUCGCCAUUUAAAGUGGUACGCGAGCUGGGUUUAGAACGUCGUGAGACAGUUCGGUCCCUAUCUGCCGUGGGCGCUGGAGAAUUGAGGGGGGCUGCUCCUAGUACGAGAGGACCGGAGUGGACGCAUCACUGGUGUUCGGGUUGUCAUGCCAAUGGCACUGCCCGGUAGCUAAAUGCGGAAGAGAUAAGUGCUGAAAGCAUCUAAGCACGAAACUUGCCCCGAGAUGAGUUCUCCCUGAGACUUUAAGUCUCCUGAAGGAACGUUGAAGACGACGACGUUGAUAGGUCGGGUGUGUAAGCGCAGCGAUGCGUUGAGCUAACCGAUACUAAUGAACCGUGAGGCUUAACCUU
rnacentral:rRNA from 1 species